rnacentral:misc_RNA from 1 species
CGACUUGGUACGAUGAGUGCAUGUUACGAUACUCGAACAAAUCUAUCUUCUCCAUUUCUGAUCAAUCUGCCAGAUAUAUCUUAGUCAAUACGGAGAACAUAAAGGAUCCAAAACGUUUUACAAAUUUGUUGGGAAAGGUGAUGGAUGAUGUAGCGACUCGCGCUUCGAAUAGCGUGUCGGGAAAGAAGUUCGCGACGAGAG